rnacentral:misc_RNA from 1 species
GAAGCUGGUGACAUGAAACCAAAUGCUGCAAAAACAAUAGUGACAACUGCCAUUCCAGUAAUUUGAACCCCAUCUCCAAUCAUCACACACAGUAACUUCGAGUGAUUUGGCUCUCUGAAAACAUCUCCCACCACAAGCUUCCAACCAGAAAGCUCCUCAUUCAUCUGUGCCUGAGCCUCUUUAUCCAGUUCCUCAUACUUGGUCAAAUCCCUUCUAACUGUUCUCAAAAAGAUAACAAAAACAAUACCAGCCAAGAAAAAUAUUACCAUCAAAGAGUUGAGAAUCGAAAACCAAUGGACUCGGGCACCAUCCAUUUUCAGAUAAGCAUCCCAUCGAGAUGGCCAUCUAGUGUCACUUUUAACGAAUUCAACCUCAUAAGUGAAAGACACUCUUUCUUGCUCUCUUAUUAUUUGAGACCUGUCAAGCUCCAGUGGACAACUUAUUGACGAAGUGUUGUCAUACAUAUGGAGUUUUGUCAUCUUUUCUGGCUCAUACUUGACACUGCAUGGAACCACCUCAAAACCAACGAUCUCAAAACCAGAUGUUUUACUCUUAUCAGUCUCUGAAAUGACACCCAUGCCUUCUUCACCGGUACCAAUUAUCUGAAUUCCAGCACCCUCAUACUCAUGAAUUAAAACCCUGAAUUUAAGGUGGUUGAUUAUGUAAUCAUCGUUACUAUUUUGUGGUGAGUAGCCAACUGGAAACCCAGUCCACUGAAUUUUGAGCCCAUUUUGGUUGGCAUAUCUCAAAGCAGGUAAAUUAUCCAAAAUCAUGUUAACCUGAUACAGAUCACGGGUCCUCUGCUUCAACAGCUUUACCUCAUGCUCAUUUAGGGGCGGAGUAGUACACAGGUAAAUAGACUCAUUGACGUUCAUCCUAAAUCUGUAGGGGGAGUUGUCAAUCUGAUCUCCCAUGAGCAACUCUCCUAGAUUCUCAGCACUAUUCUUGACUCCGCCUGGAGGCUUGCAGUAAGGAAGACUAUAGUAGCUGAAUGGAAGUUCAGUUUCAAUCGAAGUCAAUGAAUUCACUUUGACUAAGAUUUCUUCAUUUGGUGAAUAUGUAUGCAUGUAGCUUCCAGGAAGAUAAAAACCAUUGCUGGCAUGAGAAACCAGAACAACAUAGAUGAAAACAGCCCAAUAUCUCCUUGUUGAGAUCAAUGGGGAAGCCAUUGCUCAACAAAAAUACCAGUCACCUGAAUACUAGUUUGAUCUAACCAAAAAAUGCAAGAUCUCUGUAGAUUAUUCCAGGAACUCGGCGAGUGGACGAGUGAUCGGAAAAAGUGAGAAAUGACGGUGGAAUCGACGGAGAUUUGGAAGAAAAGGGGAAAAGCAUGAGAAUCGUG